UACGUAGGGUGCGAGCGUUAAUCGGAAUUACUGGGCGUAAAGGGUGCGUAGGCGGCGAUGUAAGUCGGGUGUGAAAUCCUGAGGCUUAACCUCGGAACUGCAUUCGAUACUGCGGCGCUUGAGGACUGGAGAGGAGACUGGAAUUCAUGGUGUAGCAGUGAAAUGCGUAGAGAUCAUGAGGAAGACCAGUGGCGAAGGCGGGUCUCUGGACAGUUCCUGACACUGAGGCACGAAGGCCAGGGGAGCAAACGGG
rnacentral:rRNA from 1 species